rnacentral:rRNA from 1 species
ACAGUGCCAGCAUCUGCGGUUAGUCUGUUUUCUUUGCUUUUGUAUAGAUUGUGUAUGUUUAUUUAUCAUUAAAAAUAGGUUAAAUUUUUUUAUUUAAGUUUUAAAUAUUCAUUUUUUUGUAAAAUUUAUGUUUGUGACAGGGAUUAGAUACCCCAUUAACUUAUUUUGUAAUGUUGUCUUAGUUUAUUAACUAAAAUGGUUUGGCAGUGAGUGACUCUUUUUAGGGGAAGGUGUGGUGUAAGGAUGUUCCGCCUAUUAAUUUACUUUUAUUAUGUUGGUGUAUAUCUGGUUUAAUAUUAUUGUUGAAUAAUAUAGUUUGUGUAGUAUUUAAUUAAGCCAAGUCUAUGUGCUGCUUAUAGAAGUAUUCAUGCGUUACUUUUAUAAAGUUUUAGCUGUAAUGCUAUCAUAUUUAGGACUAAAAGUAAUG